AGCUCCAAUAGCGUAUAUUAAAGUUGUUGCAGUUAAAACGCUCGUAGUCGGGUGGAUGGGGUGGCUGUCUGGUUGGGUGGAAAUCCAUACUGGACAGCAGUCCUAUUUUGGGGGGGAUAGAAUAAUGAUUCUGCACUCCCCGCGUUACUGUGAGGAAAUUAGAGUGUUUAAGGCAGGCAGUUGCUUGAAUACGUUAGCAUGGAAUAACAAGACAGGGAUGCUUGGUCUUGUUGGUUAGACGAAACAUCAGAUUGAUAGGGCCAGUCGGGGGCAUUGGUAUUUGGCAGUCAGAGGUGAAAUUCUUGGAUUUGCCAAAGACCAGCGGGGGCGAAAGCAUUUGCCAAGGAUGGUUUCG
rnacentral:rRNA from 1 species